AUCGACGACGAGCGCCGUU
rnacentral:snRNA from 1 species